CGAAGUUGUUCGUUUGGCGUAGUUCGUAAUAAUCCACAGAUUAUUGGUUUCAAAUGGUCUUUAAAACCAAUAUGCAUUGACUGUGAGUGACUGUGUACCUAUUGAGUGAAGUGAAAUUAUCUCACAACUGGAUAAUGCAAGAGCACUUAGCAAACUGUACAAUUUCAAAUUACCUACGAUCGGUCCUCGAAAAACGGAUGAGAGGACAAUAGAUACGGGUAGGACAGGAGACAAAAGCCUGCAUCUAAGGGAUCAAUUGGUUGGAAAAUUCGAGCAAUGGAGCCGG